CAGGGGCGCCCAAAUAUGGGCUGAGAUGUGCUGUGAUCCAGCCGGUCCCUUAUGACCUGAUCUAGUUAGUACUAGCGUAGGGAGUCGAAU
rnacentral:ncRNA from 1 species